rnacentral:rRNA from 1 species
GACGUAGGGCGCGAGCGUUGUCCGGAUUUACUGGGCGUAAAGGGCGCGUAGGCGGCCUGCUAAGUCGAACGUGAAAUCCCUGGGCUCAACCCAGGAACUGCGUCCGAUACUGGUUGGCUUGAAUCCGGGAGAGGGAUGUGGAAUUCCAGGUGUAGCGGUGAAAUGCGUAGAUAUCUGGAGGAACACCGGUGGCGAAGGCGACAUCCUGGACCGGUAUUGACGCUGAGGCGCGAAAGCCAGGGGAGCAAACGGG